rnacentral:rRNA from 1 species
UUAAAUUGAAGAGUUUGAUCAUGGCUCAGAUUGAACGCUGGCGGCAGGCCUAACACAUGCAAGUCGAACGGUAACAGGAAGCAGCUUGCUGCUUCGCUGACGAGUGGCGGACGGGUGAGUAAUGUCUGGGAAACUGCCUGAUGGAGGGGGAUAACUACUGGAAACGGUGGCUAAUACCGCAUAACGUCGCAAGACCAAAGAGGGGGACCUUCGGGCCUCUUGCCAUCAGAUGUGCCCAGAUGGGAUUAGCUAGUUGGUGAGGUAACGGCUCACCAAGGCGACGAUCCCUAGCUGGUCUGAGAGGAUGACCAGCCACACUGGAACUGAGACACGGUCCAGACUCCUACGGGAGGCAGCAGUGGGGAAUAUUGCACAAUGGGCGCAAGCCUGAUGCAGCCAUGCCGCGUGUAUGAAGAAGGCCUUCGGGUUGUAAAGUACUUUCAGCGGGGAGGAAGGUGUUGUGGUUAAUAACCGCAGCAAUUGACGUUACCCGCAGAAGAAGCACCGGCUAACUCCGUGCCAGCAGCCGCGGUAAUACGGAGGGUGCAAGCGUUAAUCGGAAUUACUGGGCGUAAAGCGCACGCAGGCGGUCUGUCAAGUCGGAUGUGAAAUCCCCGGGCUCAACCUGGGAACUGCAUUCGAAACUGGCAGGCUUGAGUCUUGUAGAGGGGGGUAGAAUUCCAGGUGUAGCGGUGAAAUGCGUAGAGAUCUGGAGGAAUACCGGUGGCGAAGGCGGCCCCCUGGACAAAGACUGACGCUCAGGUGCGAAAGCGUGGGGAGCAAACAGGAUUAGAUACCCUGGUAGUCCACGCCGUAAACGAUGUCUACUUGGAGGUUGUGCCCUUGAGGCGUGGCUUCCGGAGCUAACGCGUUAAGUAGACCGCCUGGGGAGUACGGCCGCAAGGUUAAAACUCAAAUGAAUUGACGGGGGCCCGCACAAGCGGUGGAGCAUGUGGUUUAAUUCGAUGCAACGCGAAGAACCUUACCUGGUCUUGACAUCCACAGAAGAAUCCAGAGAUGGAUUUGUGCCUUCGGGAACUGUGAGACAGGUGCUGCAUGGCUGUCGUCAGCUCGUGUUGUGAAAUGUUGGGUUAAGUCCCGCAACGAGCGCAACCCUUAUCCUUUGUUGCCAGCGGUCCGGCCGGGAACUCAAAGGAGACUGCCAGUGAUAAACUGGAGGAAGGUGGGGAUGACGUCAAGUCAUCAUGGCCCUUACGACCAGGGCUACACACGUGCUACAAUGGCGCAUACAAAGAGAAGCGACCUCGCGAGAGCAAGCGGACCUCAUAAAGUGCGUCGUAGUCCGGAUUGGAGUCUGCAACUCGACUCCAUGAAGUCGGAAUCGCUAGUAAUCGUGGAUCAGAAUGCCACGGUGAAUACGUUCCCGGGCCUUGUACACACCGCCCGUCACACCAUGGGAGUGGGUUGCAAAAGAAGUAGGUAGCUUAACCUUCGGGAGGGCGCUUACCACUUUGUGAUUCAUGACUGGGGUGAAGUCGUAACAAGGUAACCGUAGGGGAACCUGCGGUUGGAUCACCUCCUUACCUUAAAGAAGC